AAACAAAAAAACAGAAAUAGACAUAAACAGGAAUGUUAACCAGUCUCACGCAAUAAAGAUAAAGAGAUUAUACUAGAUGUGGAAUGGGAUCAAACUCUAGAUAUAAUGGAUGCUUGCUAGAGAAAUGGUCAUAUCACUCGGCCAACAAACCCUUCGCAAUUUAUUUCUACUCUUUUUUUUAUAUAAAAAAGAAAAAUAUUAUUAAGGAGUGAGAUACAAAAAAAUGAGGACAAGGUAUCCCCUCUAGGAAAAGAGAAACAAAUACAAGAAAUACAAUAAAAUAAGAAAAGAUUGUUGAGCUUAAUUUAUGAUAACUUCUCAAUUCCUUGGCAAGAUAGAUAAAGACAAUCCUUAAAAGCACCAUGUCCAUGCGUCUUCACCCAUAAAGAAGUUGUUCAAAUGUUAAUUCCACGUCUUAGUCCUUAUAUGUAAUUAUAUUGUAACUUUUAAUUUGAGCUUACUUCCAACCCCAUUUUGAAUUCCUUAAAAGUGAGAACUCAUGCUCACUCCUACCCCCAUCUUGAAGUUUUUUUUUUGGGGUUGGGGUGGGGGGGGGGGUUAAGAUUCUAAUUCCUACUUCUUAUUACUACGAAGAUUAAGAGUAGUAGUAACAAGGAAUGGAAUGAGAAUUGAAACAAAAUGAGUUAUUUAUGUUUAACACUUUAUUCGAUCUAUAAACUGUCAUAUGACUAUUUGUUGAUAAUAUAAACUUUAUUUUUUCACACUCUCUAUGUUAUUACACCGAAGUAUUUAUAAAAUUCUUAUUCUAUAGAUAAAAAAAUUAUUAUUUUAGUAGAAUUCUAGUUACAUGAGAUUAUUAAUUUCAUAAAAUUUUAAUUACAUCAUCUCGACUAAUUAAAUAAUAAAAUAUUCUAUUUAACACCUCUCUUAAGUUGGUGCAAAGAUAUUAUACAUACCCAACUUGCAUACCAAGUUCUAAAAAGAUUUGUUGCAACUGGCAUGGUUUUCAAAUAAAAGAAAAAGAACAACACCCCAAUAGCUAAUCUCACAGGGAUAAAACAAAACUUCUAACCAGUAUCUACGGAGUUAGAAAUAAUAGGAUUGGCCAAAAAGGGAACAAGCUGCGAGUCUAAAGUCAAUGAUUAGAAACAGACCGAUUCAACAAGAAAUCGUUGGUAUCACGAAACUAGAAGUGGAUGCGCGUGGAGGAGCCAGAUCCAUGCGGUUAUCAAGAAACCAAAGGCAGAUGCACGCGGAAGAGCCACAAAAAGGAUCAGAGAAGGCUAGUCAGAGCAGCUUGCACGCAGAGGAGCGGGAUCCUGAAUCUGUCCCAGUGCGGUCGGGUUUGCGUGACAAAGAAGAAUAUGCACUGGAACUGUAAAGUUGCUCCCCCUGUGCACACCAGAAGGCCAAUUCGAGCGGGAGGAGAAGAUUUUCAGCGGUGUGCGUGGCUCACACACUUCUGUUGCAAAAAAGCGCAUGUGGCUCACACACUUCUGUUGCAGC
rnacentral:lncRNA from 1 species